GUUUGAAAUAUCUACAACUGCUUUGUCAUAUUCACUGUUAGUAAAAUGUGGAGUGCAUUAAAAAGAAUUACUACUAGGUUUAAAAUUUGUUCGUUUAACAGCAUGUAUCCAUUUUUUUGGCCUUUCAUUAUCAUUGAGUGGAAACCUUAGACUAUACAAAUAAAAAGUAAAAAUAUUUAUAUAGGUACCUUUAACGUAAAUAAAUAGUACAAUAAAUACAAUUACGAAAUAAUUCAUCACAAUUAACA